GAGAAAGAAAAAAAUGAGCCAUUAACACCUAAGAUGAAGACCUUGUCAUCAUAGGAUCCAUCAUUAUCUUUACGAAGGUAGUUAUGAGGACUGAGAAGCCGCUUUGAGCACGGAGAGCCCUACCCAUCGUCCAAGGUGAGAUCUAGGGGCCACUGAUCAUUGGUGGAGGAGAGCUGAGGGGCGGGGUUCCUGCUGUCACCAGAAGCCCAUUGGCCCGCACGUGUGAGGGCAGGGCGAAGGGCGGUCCUGAGGUGAGGGGCGGGGCGAUGAGGUGAGUCGAAAGCCGACUUACGCUUUCGAGAGCAGGUUUGAGACUUCAAAGCAGCCCAGCCUGUAGGAGCUGCGCAGAGAGCAAGGGCGCAGCGAAGCCUUGUGGGCGCUGGCGGGACCAGCCCCUCCCUGGGACUGUUGGGUUGUCCGGCUCGCCUUGCGGGGGGACCAGACACACGCGCAAUGCCUCUCGCCCCUGAGGGAGGAAAGAGCUCUGGCCGAGGGAAGUGUAUGGCUAGACAGAGCCUGACUAUGUGUGAGGCUGGCGGUUACCAAGCCCUACAGGCCUGAGGAGCAGGCCGAUUCAAGGGCCGGCUCUGGCCGCUGUGGCCGUGGAGAAACCCAACUGCUCAAAGUAGCUGCUGCUGUGCGGCCUGAGCGGGACACUGAGCUGCGGGCUGCCGCAGACUGUCAUCGUGCCCCUGGACCUGGGGCAGUGCCACGUGCAAGUGGACCCCAGCAAGUACAAAGGCUUCCUGAGCGGCUUCGGCGUGACGGUGCAGGAUGACGGGCUGCAUGGCCUGCCCCGGGGCUGAGCCCCAACCUUCCUGGGCUACUCCUUGCAGGGCCUCUAAAGUUUGGCCUCUACGAGGUCUUCAAGAUCCGCUAGGCGCAGCUCCUGGGCCAGGAAACGGCCUAUGAGUGAAGAACCAGCCAUCUCGGCCACCGCCAAGUUCUUCGUCCAUGUGGUCCUGGCUGCCUUGGAAGUUGAGGGUUCGUACGCCUGCUUCGAGCGUGAGGUCGAGGCGCUCUACAUGGUGCCCAAGCCCCAGAGUCAGUGCACCAAAGCCAAACAGCUGGCCGUGACCUUAUGGCCGGCUACACUGCUGGCGUCUUCUGCGCCGCCAUGUCCCACCCGGCCGAUUCCAUUGUGUCUGUUCUGAACAAGGGGAAAAGCCUCAGGGCUUUCAGGGUUCUUCGCAAACGGGUUCAGGGGCGUGUGGAAGGGCCUGUUCGCCCAGAUCAUCAUGAUUGGCACCCUGACUGCGCUGUGGUGGUUCAUCUACGACUCCGUCAAGGUCAGCCUGCCUCGCCCUCCCAUCCCUCAAGCACCAGAAUCCCUAAAAAGAGUAAAAAUUAUGAGAAGUUAAAUUGUGACUUACAUCGCCCGAUAGCUUGGAAAGCAUUCACUGUUUUCAAAGAGCAUGACAGGAGAUCUGCAUUUUCUCACUUGGCUUUGUCGGAUUCUCUUCCUGAUGUUGCUGAUUAGAACAUAGCUCUCCUCAGGAAGUGCUACAAUUGGAUCAAUGUGCAAAACCAAAAUGAGAGGAAGGGCAGGCUCAGAGAAUAAAUAUGUAAAGAAAAGCCUCUGUUCUCUAAAGAUUUCUUUUGUACAACUCAGCUUUCAACAGCCAUACAUCCAAGGAAGAUCAUACCACCCUGACAUUUAAACACAUGCACACACCCACAAAACCCUAUGAAUUCCAACAAUUUUUGGUUGAAUGUUAAAGAAUGGUUUUGGUUACUUCGGAAGGAAAAUCUCACUUUUAAUGUAACAAAUGUCAUUUGUUUGGUAGGUGUUUCAAUAAUCCUUUCAAUAGUUGGGGUUCAUAUAACUUAUUGACGUUAUAAGGCACAUUUUCACAUUUCUGUAGCCUUCACAUCUCUGAGUGAGGAAAGUAAAAAAUUAGUGAAAUUCUGUGAAUUAGAGAUGUUUGUAGAAUAAGAAAUAAAUUUCAAUAUGCUAUUUGAUAUGAUUUAUCAAAAUGUUACAUAAUUGCUUUAACUUGUGUUAAAACCCACAAACAGAACAUGUUAAAUGUUUUAACUGUAAUAGUAAGCUGUUUAGUGGUUAACAGAAGUUAAAAAGUGUCUAAAUAUGUUUGAGCUGUCUGGACUGGAUAAUAAAGAACUUGGAGGGAAAAAGUCAGAGCCUGUGAAUGAGAUGCAAUGAAAUUUCUAUUUAGUGCCUCUAUUUUGUUAGGGAGGAUGCAGGAGAAGGAUCAUUAUGCAUCCUUAAGACACUGUGAUUUUCCCUAGGAAGUUAGUGUCCAGGUUUAUGGAAAAGAAAUACUCUCAAGGAAGGAGAAUGACGAAUUUUGAGGCACUAAAUUUCGUGGGUUUGUUUUUGCAAAAAUUUAAAACAAAUAUUUUUCUGACUAGUGUUACCUUGUAAAAUGUAGGAGGUUUCUUUGGUCAACAAUUUUUUAAUGUAAAUUACUUUCUACUGUAAUGUACUUUAAGAAAUUGCUACAGAAUCGUUGGCGUUUCAGACUAGUAAGAGAUCACUGGUUCUGGUCUUUGGUGUCUCAUGAUUGUUCUGUCAACAAUACUAGGUAUUUUCUGUAAUGUAAGAUGUGUAUGUUUAGACAGGUGUGAUCUAAGGAAAACUGUUCGGCGUGAUUCUUACUGUCAUGGAUAUGGUUGAGAGGAUGGGUUUACUUAGAGUCAGCAGUUUUCAUAUUCAGUCUCUAGGUUUCUCUUCACCUUUUUUUGUUCAUGGUGGUUUACAAAUGUCUGAAUAAAAAGGGAGGGGCCAUGAUGGCGAACAAUAAAGAAUAAAGUGUAAUUUAAGAAAG
ensembl:lncRNA